CGAACGCCGUUAUCUUCGACGGCGGCGGAGGCGUCUCGGUGUUCCGCUUCUGGUCGUGUCGCUCCCUCCGAACCCUAAAAGCCCUAACGAUCCAUCAUGGAGAUGGUUUCUUCUUCCCUCGUUCGCACACCCUGCCUCCCUCUCCACAUCAGCUCCCGCUCGCCCCGGAGUUCAAUUCCCACUAGGGUCUCUUCGCUUCCCUUCUCCCUUUCAAGGUUUCCUCGCGCCCAAUCUUAUCGCAGAAGAGAAGCCCUUCGCCCUUCCUCUGCAAUCAGAGCGUUGGGUGAUAUGACAGUGACCCCAAGCAGCUCUACCGAAAGAUUUUCAUCGAACGUUACAGAGUCCGAGGAUGCGACUGUCUGUGAAGAUUACACUGAAGGUGAUUGCGGCUCAGGAAGUGUCGAUGAUUCUAAGAUGACCAGAGUUUGUGACAAGCUAAUUGAGGUCUUCAUGGUUGAUAAGCCGACAACAACUGAUUGGAGAAGGUUAUUAGCUUUUAGCAAGGAAUGGAGUAAUAUCCGGCCACAUUUUUACCGGCGAUGUGAGGAAAGAGCAGAUCGUGAGGGUGAUCCAGGGAUGAAGCACAAGCUUCUCCGGCUGGGAAGGAAGUUGAAAGAGAUUGAUGAUGAUGUGCAAAGGCAUAAUGAACUUCUUGAAGUGAUUAAAGAGGCACCAGAUGAAAUAAGUGCUAUUGUUGCUAGGCGUCGCAAAGAUUUCACCAAGGAAUUCUUUGUCCACCUUCAUACUGUGGCAGAGUCCUACUAUAAUGAGCCUUCAAAACAAAAUGAACUGGCAAGGAUCGGAAAUGUUUGUAUAGCUGCUGUACAAGCAUAUGACAAUGCAUCACAAAGCAUCGAGGCCCUGAAUGCCGCUGAGUUGAAGUUUAAUGAUAUAAUUAGUUCACCUACUUUAGAUGCUGCCUGCAGGAAGAUCGACAAUCUCGCAGAGAAAAAAGAACUUGAUUCUGCAUUGAUGUUGAUGAUCACCAAAGCUUGGUCAGCUGCCAAAGAAACAAACAUGAUGAAGGAUGAGGCAAAGGACAUAUUGUAUCAUCUGUACAAGACUGCUGUAGGAAAUCUUCAGAGGCUUAUGCCAAAGGAAAUCAGGAUACUUAAGUAUCUCCUCACAAUUAAGGAUCCUGAGGAACAGUUACAUGCGUUGAGAGAAGCUUUUACACCUGGGGUUGAACUGGAAGGAAAGGAUGUUGACUGUUUAUACACAACGCCUGAGGCAUUGCAUACUUGGAUUCAGACCGUGCUGGAUGCUUACAAUUUCAGUAGAGAAGGUACGCUGAUAAGAGAAGCAAGGGACUUGAUGAACCCGAAGUUUAUUCAGCGACUAGAGGAAUUGAAGAAAGUAGUCCAGAGUAACUUUCUCUAGUCCCACCCUCGUUAAGCUUUGAUAAGAUGAUCUGCAUCCGAGUAACACAACUUCUUAUCCCCAAGGCGCAAGUUGUGAAUUUUCCUCUGUGUUGGAAAUAUCUGCUAACUCUUAGCUGGACUCGGUGGUGCUUUCAAGAGAGAAAAUUUGUUCUUGCUAUGAUGCCUGUCAGUUUAUCGGCACUCGUCGAAAGUAAUUAUCCCAAGUUUUUUAUUACUUAAAUUUGAGGGUUUAUGUCAUUCUUAUAAAAUGCAUUCUAGCGUUGUCGGACUGCGUAUGUUUUAUUGAUAUGAGUGUUAGUCAUCGAUAAAAAAAUUUGUGUUGUUGA